AAUGAACGUUGGCGGCGUGGAUUAGGCAUGCAAGUCGCGCGACAAGGAACCUUCGGGUUCUGGAGGAGCGGCAAACGGGGUAGUAAGGCAUCGGAACGUACCCUCUUGUUGGAAAUAGCCGCGGGAAACUGCGAGUAAUGCCCAAUAAUCCCUACGGGGCAAAGGUCCGCCGCAGGAGGAGCGGCCGAUGUGAUACCAGCUAGUUGGUGAGGUAAUGGCUCACCAAGGCUUAGACGUCUAGGGGGGUGUGAGAGCAUGGCCCCCCACCACUGGGACGUGAGAUACUGCCCACGACACCUACGGGUGGGCUGCAGUCGAGAAUCUUCGGCGAAUAGGGCGGCAAGCCUGACCGAGCAACGCCGCGUGCGGGAGUGAAGGACCC
rnacentral:rRNA from 1 species